GACAGAGGGUGCGAACGUUGUUCGGAAUUACUGGGCGUAAAGCGCGUGUAGGCGGCAGCGCAAGUCGGGCGUGAAAUCCCACGGCUCAACCGUGGAAGUGCACUCGAAACUGCGCAGCUAGAGUCCUGGAGAGGAAGGUGGAAUGCUUGGUGGUAGAGUGAAAUUCGUAGAUAGUCAAGCGGAACUCCGGUGGACGAAGGCGGC
rnacentral:rRNA from 1 species